rnacentral:rRNA from 1 species
GAGCGGAUGACGGAGCUUUGCUCCUUGAUUCAGCGGCGGACGGGUGAGUAAUGCCUAGGAAUCUGCCUGGUAGUGGGGGACAACGUUUCGAAAGGAACGCUAAUACCGCAUACGUCCUACGGGAGAAAGCAGGGGACCUUCGGGCCUUGCGCUAUCAGAUGAGCCUAGGUCGGAUUAGCUAGUUGGUGGGGUAAUGGCUCACCAAGGCGACGAUCCGUAACUGGUCUGAGAGGAUGAUCAGUCACACUGGAACUGAGACACGGUCCAGACUCCUACGGGAGGCAGCAGUGGGGAAUAUUGGACAAUGGGCGAAAGCCUGAUCCAGCCAUGCCGCGUGUGUGAAGAAGGUCUUCGGAUUGUAAAGCACUUUAAGUUGGGAGGAAGGGCAGUAAGUUAAUACCUUGCUGUCUUGACGUUACCGACAGAAUAAGCACCGGCUAACUAUGUG